rnacentral:rRNA from 1 species
GACGAACGCUGGCGGCGUGCCUAACACAUGCAAGUCGAGCGGGGAACGAAUGGUAGCUUGCUACCGUUUGUUUCUAGCGGCGGACGGGUGAGUAACGCGUGAGCAACCUGCCUUUAUCAGGGGGAUAACGCAUCGAAAGAUGUGCUAAUACCGCGUAAGACCACAGCUUCACAUGGAGCGGGGGUCAAAGGAGCAAUCCGGAUAAAGAUGGGCUCGCGUCCGAUUAGCUAGUUGGUGAGAUAACAGCCCACCAAGGCGACGAUCGGUAGCCGACCUGAGAGGGUGAUCGGCCACAUUGGAACUGAGAGACGGUCCAGACUCCUACGGGAGGCAGCAGUGGGGAAUAUUGGGCAAUGGGCGAAAGCCUGACCCAGCAACGCCGCGUGAGGGAAGAAGGGUUUCGGCUCGUAAACCUCUGUCCUAUGGGACGAAGGAAGUGACGGUACCAUAGGAGGAAGCCCCGGCUAACUACGUGCCAGCAGCCGCGGUAAUACGUAGGGGGCGAGCGUUGUCCGGAAUGAUUGGGCGUAAAGGGCGCGUAGGCGGCCUGCUAAGUCUGGAGUGAAAGUCCUGCUUUCAAGGUGGGAAUUGCUUUGGAUACUGGUGGGCUGGAGUGCAGGAGAGGAAAGCGGAAUUGCCGGUGUAGCGGUGAAAUGCGUAGAGAUCGGUAGGAACACCAGUGGCGAAGGCGGCUUUCUGGA